AUUUAAUAAAAUUUCCAAUCAGCAAAUAAUUAUUUCAUUACACGCGUAAUAAAGUUUACAGAAACAAACGACUCCCAUACAAACGAAAAAAAAAGAAAAAGAAACGCACACAAUACUAUUAUUACUUCCACAAUUUCCUUUAUUCAAAUGUAACAGAAUAAAUGAACAAUGGUCAUGGCAUGGUCCAUUUGCGGUUGCCUUUCAUGAAUAUCGUUCUUAAUAUCGUACAAAGAAGCCUUGAUUACGACUCGAUCCCCUAGGCAAAUUCGUUAGAUGGCAUGACAUCCUUGUGGUACUGGAAGACUUGAUGAAGCUAAGACUCGAUUCCCUUGGCAAAUUCGUUGGAUGGCACGACAUCCUUGUGGUACUGGAAGACUUGAUUAGGUUGUGUCUCGGUCCCAACCGCAAAUUCAUUAGAUGGCACGGCAUCUUUGUGGUAUUGGAAUACUUGAUUAGGUUGCGACUCGAUCUCCUUGAAACCUUCAUUUGAUGGCACGACAUCCUUGUUGUACUGGAAGACUUGAUUAGGUUGUGACCCGAUCCCUUUGGAAAAUUCAUUUGACGGCACGACAUCCUUGUGGUACUGGAAGACUUGAUUAGGCUGCGAUUCGAUUCCCUUGGCAAAUUCGUUGGAUGGCACGAUAUCCUUGUGGUACUGGAAGACUUGAUUAGGCUGCAAUUCCAUCCCCUUGGAAAAUUCAUUAGAUGUCACGACAUCCUUGUGGUACUGGAAGACUUGAUUAGGCUGCGACUCGAUCUCCUUGGCAAAUUCAUUAGAUGGCACGGCAUCCUUGUGGUACUGGAAGACUUGGUUAGGCUGCAACUCGAUCUCCUUGGCAAAUUCAUUAGAUGGCACGGCAUCCUUGUGGUACUGGAAGACUUGGUUAGGCUGCAACUCGAUCUCCUUGGCAAAUUCAUUAGAUGGCACGGCAUCCUCGUGGUACUGGAAGACUUGAUUAGGUUGCGACUCGGUCCCUUCCGCAAAUUCAUUAGAUGGCACGAUAUCCUUGUGGUAUUGGAAUACUUGGUUAGGUUGCGACUCGAUCUCCUUGGAAAAUUCGUUGGAUGGCACGGCAUCCUUGUGGUACUGGAAGACCUGAUUAGUAUCACAACGUACAUCGGCGUGAUCAGAGUUUGCAGCAGGCAGUAGGGAUUCGAUUGCUUUGGGCAUAAGCUGAUCUUUCAUCACAGAUUUCCAGUAACCCCCUAUUGAGUCUUUUCUUGCAUUGAC
rnacentral:lncRNA from 1 species